UACGGGGGGGGCAAGCGUUGUUCGGAAUUACUGGGCGUAAAGGGCGCGUAGGCGGCCUGCUAAGUCGGACGUGAAAUCCCUCGGCUCAACCGGGGAACUGCGUCCGAUACUGGCGAGCUUGAAUCCGGGAGAGGGAUGUGGAAUUCCAGGUGUAGCGGUGAAAUGCGUAGAUAUCUGGAGGAACACCAAUGGCGAAGGCAGCUCUCUGGACCGUUACUGACGCUGAGGCGCGAAAGCGUGGGGAGCAAACAGG
rnacentral:rRNA from 1 species